GCAUGCUCAUAGUCACAGAACGUUGAAAAGAGCAUCUGCCUUGCAUGGAGAAGGUCCCAGGUUUGAUCCCUGGUAUCUCCA